UACGAGUGCCCCGAGCGUUAUCCGGAAUCAUUGGGCGUAAAGGGUGUGUAGGUGGCAGUGUUAGUCGAUUGUUAAAACCUGGGGCUCAACCCCAGAUCCGCGAUCGAAACGGCACAGCUAGAGGAUGCGAGGGAUGUAUGGAACUCAUGGAGUAGGGGUGAAAUCCGUUGAUAUCAUGGGGAACACCAAAAGCGAAGGCAGUACAUUGGCGCAUUCCUGACACUGAAACACGAAAGCGUGGGUAGCGAAUGGG
rnacentral:rRNA from 1 species